GAUGAACGCUGACAGAAUGCUUAACACAUGCAAGUCCACUUGAACUUCGGUUUGGGUGGCGGACGGGUGAGUAACGCGUAAAGAACUUGCCUCACAGCUAGGGACAACAUUUGGAAACGAAUGCUAAUACCUGAUAUUAUGAUUAUAUGGCAUCGUAUAAUUAUGAAAGCUAUAUGCGCUGUGAGAGAGCUUUGCGUCCCAUUAGCUAGUUGGAGAGGUAACAGCUCACCAAGGCGAUGAUGGGUAGCCGGCCUGAGAGGGUGAUCGGCCACAAGGGGACUGAGACACGGCCCUUACUCCUACGGGAGGCAGCAGUGGGGAAUAUUGGACAAUGGACCGAGAGUCUGAUCCAGCAAUUCUGUGUGCACGAUGAAGUUUUUCGGAAUGUAAAGUGCUUUCAGUUGGGAAGAAAAAAAUGACGGUACCAACAGAAGAGGUGACGGCUAAAUACGUG
rnacentral:rRNA from 1 species